UACGGAGGGUGCAAGCGUUAAUCGGAAUUACUGGGCGUAAAGCGUGCGUAGGUGGUUCGUUAAGUCCGUUGUGAAAGCCCCGAGCUCAACUUGGGAAUUGCAGUGGAUACUGGCGAGCUAGAGUGCGGUAGAGGAAGGUGGAAUUCCCGGUGUAGCGGUGAAAUGCGUAGAGAUCGGGAGGAACACCAGUGGCGAAAGCGGCUUCCUGGUCCGACACCGACGUUCAGGCACGAAAGCGUGGGGAGCAAACAGG
rnacentral:rRNA from 1 species